UACGAAGGGGGCUAGCGUUGCUCGGAAUUACUGGGCGUAAAGGGCGCGUAGGCGGACAGUUAAGUCAGGAGUUAAAGCCCAGAGCUCAACCUUGGAAUCGCUUUUGAUACUGGCUGUCUUGAGUACGGGAGAGGUGUGUGGAACUCCGAGUGUAGAGGUGAAAUUCGUAGAUAUUGGGAAGAACACCGGUGGCGAAGGCGGCUCACUGGCUCGUAACUGACGCUCAGGCGCGACAGCGUGGGGAUCAAACAGG
rnacentral:rRNA from 1 species